rnacentral:rRNA from 1 species
UACGGGGGGGGGCAAGCGUUGUUCGGAAUUACUGGGCGUAAAGGGCUCGUAGGUGGCCAACUAAGUCGGACGUGAAAUCCCUCAGCUUAACUGGGGAACUGCGUCCGAUACUGGAUGGCUCGAGUUUGGGAGAGGGAUGCGGAAUUCCAGGUGUAGCGGUGAAAUGCGUAGAUAUCUGGAGGAACACCGGUGGCGAAGGCGGCAUCCUGGACCAACACUGACACUGAGGAGCGAAAGCCAGGGGAGCAAACGGG